CUAGCGUUGUUCGGAAUCACUGGGCGUAAAGCGCACGUAGGCGGAUUUUUAAGUCAGGGGUGAAAUCCCGGGGCUCAACCUCGGAACUGCCUUUGAUACUGGAGAUCUUGAGUCCGGAAGAGGUAAGUGGAACUGCGAGUGUAGAGGUGAAAUUCGUAGAUAUUCGCAAGAACACCAGUGGCGAAGGCGGCUUACUGGUCCGGAACUGACGCUGAGGUGCGAAAGCGUGGGGAGCAAACAGG
rnacentral:rRNA from 1 species